CCUCCGACCCCUCCUCGCACCUCCCUCUGCCCCCCCGGCACCGCCCCCUGUACCCAGGCCCAGUCCACUCGCUGCCUGCCCCCUUCGCUGCGCUGCAACGGAGCCCGGGACUGCCCCGAUGGCUCGGACGAGGCAGGGUGCCCCGACACGGCCUGCGGGAAACGCCUGGGGAACUUCUACGGAACAUUCGCCUCCCCGGACUUCUUCCGUCCCAACCGCAGCGCUGUGGGGGAGCUGAGGUGCUCCUGGCUACUGGACACUCAGGACCCUAAGCCCAUCGUGUUGCAGCUGGACCUGGGGUUAGGGCCAGGGGACUCCCUCCAUGUCUAUGAUGGGCUGGUCCAGAGAGCAGAGCGCUCC